rnacentral:piRNA from 1 species
AAUCCACAAAGAGGAAAGACAGAACUGA